rnacentral:rRNA from 1 species
UGGGGAAUUUUGGACAAUGGGCGCAAGCCUGAUCCAGCCAUGCCGCGUGCAGGAUGAAGGCCUUCGGGUUGUAAACUGCUUUUGUACGGAACGAAAAGGUGCCUUCUAAUAAAGGGCGCUCAUGACGGUACCGUAAGAAUAAGCACCGGCUAACUACGUGCCAGCAGCCGCGGUAAUACGUAGGGUGCGAGCGUUAAUCGGAAUUACUGGGCGUAAAGCGUGCGCAGGCGAUUUUGUAAGACAGAUGUGAAAUCCCCGGGCUUAACCUGGGAACUGCUGUUGUGGCUGCAAGGCUGGAGUACGGCAGAGGGGGGUGGAAUUCCACGUGUAGCAGUGAAAUGCGUAGAGAUGUGGAGGAACACCGAUGGCGAAGGCAGCCCCCUGGGCCUGUACUGACGCUCAUGCACGAAAGCGUGGGGAGCAAACA